UGACAUGGAAGUGUGUAUGAAGCAAAGGAGGAAUUGAAUUCCUCCAUGCAGAAAAAAUGGCACCCAUUGGCAUUCAUUGAUGUUUACUUAAUGUUUAUGGAGACCAAACAAUGAAUGUUAGCAUAAAUAGGUUUUGGAUUGACCUGUGUAUAACAACUCCAGUGGCUUGGGGAAACAAAUUACUGUAGCUUUUAAGGAGCAGCAAUUUUGCUGACAAGAAUUUAAAGACUGUCCCGUGUACCUUCUACAAAAGACUUCCUGUUCCCUGAGGUACAGGCACCGAGUAUGCAACUGAUCAUCACCAGUAUUACCUUGACAAAUAUAAGUCUAUCCUUUCACAAUAAAAGGCUGAGUGAUAAAUUACAAAGCUGAAAACAAAGCUACCAGUAUCUAUAAUAACAGAUGGGAAAAACAAACAAACAAGCAAACAUUUUUUAAAUUAAUAUCCACAAACUAAACGGGCAAGAGUUUGUACGUACAAACUUUCCUCCAGAUGUGAAACAGAAGCAGCAAACAGAAUCGGUUACAUCAUUUCACAAGCACCUAAAACAACAGAAUGCACUUGUCAUUUGCUUGGUUUUACUUCCACUGCUGCAGAUAUUUAGGAGUCUGAGCUGAUCUUCUAGAGAAGUGCUCCUUGCCAGUGCAGUGCUCCAGACAGAGUGCUGGGCAACUGUCAACUUGGAAGGAUGGGUUUCAUUCAAAUACAACACCUACCUACUUGACACUGCCUUACAAAUGGGAAAUCAUGACUUGAAGUACAGUUUCCUAAAAAUGUCUUCAGGAAGCAACUACCUCUUAUUUUCAAAUGACACCACAAGAAGUAUUUCCCCAUUUCCUACCUUUCCUGAAUCUAAAUAUUUAUUGAAUUGUAUCAAAUUAACUUACGUAUAGUUAAGGAAAUCUUUCUGUGCUGUUUCCCACCUCUUAUUCUACUCAGAUUGUACGUGGAAGACAUAAUACCUUCGGUUUUAAAAUCUCUAAGAAAAGAAUAAAAAAAUGCAGUGGACAGUGUAAUGCAAAAUGGGAUAGUUAUUCUGUUAGUUCAGGCUUGUUUGGAACAUUUGGACAGGCAAACUGUACGUGAUCUAGCAUAGAUUACUGCUGCAAUAGUCUAAUGAGAUGCAGGCCCUACCUAAAGCAGGCAGGCAGGUUAGUGAUAGUGCUUCAUGAUGGCUUCCAAUCAGUGGAAUCAAAUGCACAUCAAAUGUUCUUGUGGUGUAAUUUGAAAAUAAGAGGUAGUUGCUUCCUUGCGUUGGCCUUACCUGAAAAGCAAAAUCAUGAGAAUACAGACCUCCUGGUUGUGGUUUUUGUGGGUCUGGGUGUGGGUACGUGUGUGUGGGGGUGUGUGUGGGUGUCUUUUUAAUGUAUUUAUUUUUCCCUGUGAAUCCUGGUCACAUAUAACACUAUUUUAAACAUGUAAGGAACAUACAUCCCUACCCAAUUUCAUGCUUAAACCAGGUUAAACAUCCCAGCUAGGAAAUGUAUUACGUUAUGCAAAAGUCUCUUAGGCUGAUGCAAUAUUUCUAAACCUUACCUUAAGAAACAAUUAUUAUGCAAGCACCUUAUCAACACUGCAGACAUCAGCUUGUCCUGCAGUAUUAUACAGAAACCGAUGACAAUAACAUAAUAAUUAAUGAAACUAGGAAUUAAGUUGUACAAUACUUCUUUCUUUGUAAUCAUAGAAAUUAUGAAUUUCAGAGAACUUUGUUACAAUGCCAGUAUAAUAGAUCUCUUUCAACGAUAAUAAAAUAAUAGCAUAUAGCAAUACUUCUGUUUCUAAUACAGCUUAAGACAAGGUACCUAAAAUAUUACAUGGGACUAGUGCAACACUCUCAUCUGCAACAAUCUGCACCUAUCUCAAGCUGCUGUUUGUCUGCUGCCCGUACAAUGAUAUUUGUGACAUUCUGGCAAUUCAAACAGCUCUUCAGUCAUUCAGAAUGUAAGUGGCUUCCUGAACCCUUCUGUCACAUAUUUUGCUAUAUUUAAUAUCAGCUCCUGAAACAAAUUUGAAAAUUUGCUGAAGUUACACAAAACAACUUUGAAGCUGUCUGAUCCUCUCUGCAUCUAGCCAUGUAACCAAGCUCAUUUUCUUGACAUCUGAUAAUGUCCUCGAUUCUUACGUAAAGAACAACAUUGCUUUGAAUAUUUGAUUGCUUAUUCUUUGUCUAAAUGUAUCUUUAUUCUGUUAACCCAUAUUUGUUGAUGUGUAUGUGGGAUAACUACUGUAUUGAUCUUUGAAAGGUUUUUGCUUGUUUGUUGGAUUUUUUGACCUUCAGUACUAAAAUU
ensembl:lncRNA